GAAAGUUACUAAGGGCGUAUGGGGAAUGCCUAGGCUCUCAGAGGCGAAGAAGGACGUGAUAAGCUGCGAAAAGUACCGGGGAUCCGCAAAUAGGAAUCGAUCCGGUAAUGUCCGAAUGGGGAAACCCGUAUUGAUGAAGUCAAUACAUCCUGGCAACAGGAAGCAAACCCGGAGAACUGAAACAUCUAAGUACCCGGAGGAAGAGAAAACAAUAGUGAUUCCGUAAGUAGUGGCGAGCGAAAGCGGAAGAGCCCAAACCCUGCCCGUUAAGGCGGUCAGGGGGUUGUAGGACCACAUUUAGUUCCUGUUAACGAAUCAGAAUUACCUGGGAAGGUAAGCCAGAGAAGGUGAAAGCCCCGUAUAAGUAAGUUAACAGAAUGAGUGGUAUCCUGAGUAAAGCGGGGUCGGAGACGCCCCGUUUGAAGCAGCCGGCACCAUCCGGUAAGGCUAAAUACUACUGAGAGACCGAUAGUGAACCAGUACUGUGAAGGAAAGGUGAAAAGAACCUUGAAUAAAGGAGUGAAAUAGAACCUGAAACCAUACGCUUACAAGCGGUCGGAGCCCUUUAGUGGGGUGACGGCGUGCCUUUUGCAUAAUGAGCCUACGAGUUGCUCCUCUUUGGCAAGGUUAAGUACUAUAGGUACGGAGCCGGAGCGAAAGCGAGUCUGAAUAGGGCGUAUAGUCAGAGGGGGCAGACGCGAAACUUUGUGAUCUACCCAUGACCAGGUUGAAGGGUGGGUAACACCACCUGGAGGACCGAACUAAUGAGCGUUGAAAAGCUCUUGGAUGAGUUGUGGGUAGGGGUGAAAGGCUAAUCAAACUGAGAAAUAGCUCGUACUCCCCGAAAUGCCUUUAGGGGCAGCCUCGAGGUUGAGUUUUAAAGAGGUAGAGCUACCAAUUGGACUAGGGGGUGUCACAACCUACCAAAUCCAGAUGAACUCCGAAUGCUUUAAAAUAUACUCGGGAGUGAGGGCUGGGGUGCUAAGGUCACAGUCCGAAAGGGAAAGAACCCGGAUCAACAGCUAAGGUCCCAAAAUCUACUCUAAGUUGAACUAAGGUAGUCCAGCUGCAGAGACAGCCAGGAGGUUUGCUUGGAAGCAGCAAUUCCUUUAAAGAGUGCGUAACAGCUCACUGGUCGAGCGGCAGGGCAUCGAUAAUAAACGGGCAUCAAGAGUAGUACCGAAGCUAUGAAUGUAGAAAUACGUGGUAGGGGAGCAUUCUAUUCAGCGGCGAAGGUAGGCUGUAAGGCCUGCUGGAGCGAAUAGAAAAGCAAAUGUAGGCAUAAGUAACGAUAAAACAGGUGAGAAACCUGUUCGCCGAUAGACUAAGGUUUCCUGAUCAACGUUAAUCGGAUCAGGGUUAGUCGGGGCCUAAGGAAAAGCCGAAAGGCGUAUUCGAUGGACAUCAGGUUAAUAAUCCUGAACCGGCAUUAUAAAGUGAUGGGGAGACGGAGUAGUGACACAUCUGCGCACUGACGGAAUAGUGCGUUAAAGCCAGUAGGUAUAGAGAGGGUAGGUAAAUCCGCCCACUUUGCUGAAAGGCGAUAGUACCGAGCGGCUUCGGCCAAUCGGAUAAUGAUGGUAAACAGACUUCCAAGAAAAUCCUCUAAGCGUUUAUUAUAAUGCUGCCCGUACCGCAAACCGACACAGGUAGUCAAGGAGAGAAUCCUAAGGCGCUCGAGUGAAUCACGGCUAAGGAACUCGGCAAAUUAACCCUGUAACUUCGGGAAAAGGGGUGCCCCGAGCAAUCGGGGCCGCAGCGAAACGGCCCAGGCGACUGUUUAACAAAAACACAUGGCUUUGCGAAAUCGAAAGAUGAAGUAUAAGGCCUGACACCUGCCCGGUGCUGGAAGGUUAAGGGGGGAUGUUAGCCGCAAGGCGAAGCAUUGAACUGAAGCCCCAGUAAACGGCGGCCGUAACUAUAACGGUCCUAAGGUAGCGAAAUUCCUUGUCGGGUAAGUUCCGACCUGCACGAAUGGUGUAACGAUCUGGGCGCUGUCUCAGCCGUGAGCUCGGUGAAAUUGUAGUAGCGGUGAAGAUGCCGCUUACCCGCAACGGGACGGAAAGACCCCAUGAACCUUCACUAUAGCUUUACAUUGACUUUGGGUAAGUGAUGUGUAGGAUAGGUGGGAGGCUUCGAUCCCUGGCCGCCAGGUCAGGGUUAGCCAACGGUGAAAUACCACCCUUCACUUAUCUGGAGUCUAAUCCUAACAAGGAGACAUUGUAUGGUGGGUAGUUUGACUGGGGUGGUCGCCUCCAAAAGAGUAACGGAGGCUUUCAAAGGUACCCUCAGCACGCUUGGUAACCGUGCGCGGAGCGCAAUAGCAAAAGGGUGCUUGACUGUGAGGCCGACAAGCCGAUCAGGAACGAAAGUUGGAUAUAGUGAUCCGGUGGUUCCGCAUGGAAGGGCCAUCGCUCAAAGGAUAAAAGGUACUCUGGGGAUAACAGGCUGAUCUCCCCCAAGAGCUCACAUCGACGGGGAGGUUUGGCACCUCGAUGUCGGCUCGUCACAUCCUGGGGCUGGAGAAGGUCCCAAGGGUUCGGCUGUUCGCCGAUUAAAGUGGCACGCGAGCUGGGUUCAGAACGUCGUGAGACAGUUCGGUCCCUAUCUGUUGUGGGCGUAAGAAGCUUGAGAGGACCUGACCUUAGUACGAGAGGACCGGGUUGGACGAACCUCUGGUAUGUCUGUUGUGGCGCCAGCUGCAGUGCAGAGUAGCCAUGUUCGGUAGAGAUAAGCGCUGAAAGCAUCUAAGUGCGAAACUCACCUCAAGAUGAGGCUUCUAUACAAGGGUCGUCAGAGACUAUGACGUCGAUAGGCUGCAGGUGUAAAGACAGUAAUGUCAAAGCUGAGCAGUACUAAUUACCCGGAAACUUUCUUGU
rnacentral:rRNA from 1 species